UUGUUUUCUGUUUGUUUUCAAUGUAAACUUUUAUUACUAAUCCAUGACAAGACAGUUUGUUUUUCAUACAAAGGCACAUGUGGUUCAUUCAGUGCAUUCUAGCAUUACAUAAUACAUAUUAGAUUGCAUAACACAAACAACAUCGGUUGCUUUAAAAUAUCUGAAUAGACGUUUCAUCUUGGUGCAAAACAAAACAAGAAACAUAGAAUUAUUGAAUAACUUCAGCGACCACACUUUGUUGAAUGUAUGCGAAUAGACUGGUUUUAGCCAUCCCUAAAGGGACUUUUAGUUAUGGACUAAAAAUGUUGUUCAAUUUCAAGCUUAUCCAGGCAGAUAAGUAAUAAUAUAGCAUUGUGAUUAUCAAAAUAAUACAUUUACAAAUUCAGACCAAGAUAGUCUCCUUCAACUCAAUUGUACAAGCACUGAAUAGAUUGUUAAAAUAAAUACUUCAAAUAUUUGCAUAGAUUAUCAAUUGGAAUAAAAAUGUGCCACUUUCUGAAAAUGUAUAUAAAACAAACUAGUCUAUGAUAGUGCUUGCAUUAAUGCAUUUGCUCGCAUGUGUAUUGUGUGUGUGUGUGUGUGUGUGUGAGUGUAUGCGAUAAUGUCUCGGACAGGAAAUGAAGAAAGCCUUUGAAAUCUCUGUAUUUAUCAUGUCUUACUCUGAAGUACCUUGUAUUACGCUGAUGUGGUUUGCUAGGGAAAGCCAGGCUACUGCAUUCAAAGCCUACUUGGAAAGCUUUAGUGGUUUAGUAUGUUCUGCCCGUGCAGCCUAGCUUACUCCCUAUAAAUGUGUAAUUCCUACACUGAUUCGCAUUGGCAGAGGCUUAGGGCCAGCAUAUUGAAUUCUGUUAUUGAAAAAUUAAAACUAAAAUGUCUCUCCACAAUUUGUUUUAUAAAUCAAAUGUGUUAUGUUCAUCUGUAAUGUCUAACUUUCUCUGUCUCUCUCUCGCUUUCACACACGCACACGCACAAGCACACAGACACACAGACAGACACACAGACAGACAGACAGACAGACAGACAGACAGACAGACAGACAGACAGACAGACAGACAGACAGACAGACAGACAGACAGACAGACAGACAGACAGACAGACAGACAGACAGACAGACACAAAAAACCUACACUGUGAGAGAGAACUGAAUAAACAGCAUAAUAUUUCAUGAGAUUGUUCGCCCAAAAAUAAUCCAGUUGGCGGCUUGCCCAAUAUAUUUGGUAGCAGACCAAAAACAGUUGCAUAGAGUAUAAAGACAACAGCUCUCCCAUUCACUUGUGUGUCAUAUGACACACGGAGCCGUCUAAUCGCAGUGCAGUAUUCUUCACUGCUGCCGUGGGUCUCACAUUCAUGUAUCUGUCUGUCAUAGCAACUAGUAAAUAAUAAAACAUAAACAUAAAAAUGGGCUAAAAUUCUAACCAUUAUGAUCUAGGUAGGUCUAUGUUAUUUAUACAGCUUGUUAUACAACAUUCCCAUGCAACACCAUGGACUCCAUUCAUACAUUGUUAUUUACUUUAAAUUAAAGUAGUAGUAGUAGUAGUAGUAGUAGUAGUAAAGUGCUCUAUGCUAUUAUAUAAAUGUUUGCACUUAAGAAUCUGUAUUGCAAUGAACAUUUCCUCACAUGUACAUACACUGAGUGUACAAAACAUUUAAGGACACCUUCCUACUAUUGAGUUGCAGCCUCAACUCGUUGGGGCCUGGACUCUACAAGGUGUCAAAAAGCGUUCAACAAGGACGCUGGCCUAUGUUGACUCCAAUACUUCCCACAGUUGUGUCAAGUUGGCUGGAUGUCCUUUGGCUGGUGGACCAUUCUUGAUACACACGGGAAACUGUUAAGUGUGAAAAACCCAGCAGUGUUGCAGUUCUUGACACAAACCGGUGUGCCUGGCACCUACUACCAUACCCCGUUCAAAGGCACUUACAUUUUUUUGUCUUGCCCAUUCACGCUCUGAAUGGCACACACACAAUCCAUGUCUCAAUUGUCUCAAGGCUUAAAAAUCCUUCUUUAACCUGUCUCCUUCCCUUCAUCUACACAGAUUGAAGUGGAUUUAACAAGUGACAUCAAUAAGGGAUCAUAGCUUUCACCUGGAUUCACCUGGUCAGUCUGUCAUGGAAAGAGCAGGUGUUCUUAAUGUUUUGUGUAGAUGUCAUUGAGGCUGCAAGCAAAUACUGUAGGAACACAGCACAUGUAAUGUAUCUCAUUCAUAGCACAGUGUAUCCAAGAAUCCCUGCUUCUCUGUUUAUCUUGGAUCCUGAGAUAUUUGCUCUUGUUUUCCACGCCACCAACCCACUUUCUUAUUGGCUUAAGAAAGGAAACAAAACCAAUCCAGAUUGUUCCUUGCUGGAUAACAAAACCCAGGCCGGAGGUCCAACCACACGUCAGAGGCAGCUAAAGUGCUCUGAUGCUCAAAUGUUGGGGUACAAGUCGGAGUAUAGUGGACAAACAUUGUUGUAAUGGGCCUGUUCCAUUGCAAAUACUAGGGAUGGGUUGGUAGUUUGUGGGCAACUUUUCUUCUCCCAAUGGAUUACUGCUCGCUGUUUUUUCUGCCCUCUAUCAGUGUUCUGGACCAUUAUUUGCCUGGAGGGGGGAAAAAAUGUAUGUUAGAAGCAGGGGUUGGAACCAAAAUUAUUUUCCAAUCGUUCCCGAACAGAACCCCUAUAUUUUUUGUUCCGUUCCAGUGUUCCGGCCAGCAUAAUAAAGUUCUGAACCGGGUUGAAGAAGAAAAAAGCAGUGGUUCAUAUACUUCCUUUUUCCCCCCAUUUUUUUACCUGUGAAAUCGACAUCGUUUUUAUAUUUAGCUUAUUAUUUUACCUCACCAAUUAGCACGGAUAGAGCAUCUUGCUAUGGAACAGGUAGGCUAGUUGUUUGCAUGUUUAAUUGGUCAGAGAUGAUGCGACUGAAGUUUCACGGGUGGGGAGAGAGCGAGAGAAAGCGGUGGACAUGGAGGAACAUGGUUUGAAGCACUGAGCAUCAUGACAUGAAUUGGGAGUGUGUAUAGGCUAUUACUAGCAUCAAAACUUCACUGAAUUGCAGAAUUAUAUACGAGAUAUUAGGAAUAUUUUUGGAACAAAAAAUAACAUUAUUAACCAGUUCUCAAGAUUUGAAAAAAACGGUUCUGUUCCGGAACACUAGAGAUCCUUGACAUAUUUUGUCAUUUUCUGGUUUUCGGUUCUGUUCCCUGAACCGGUUCCAACCACUGGUUAAAACACCACCAUAUAUAAAACAAAUUCAAAAUAAAGCCAGUACAUUAUGUGUUAAAAUAUUUUCGAGUGAACGGCCAGUCUCUUUCAUAUAGCAAAAACCCGUUGUGGCCUUAGGUGCGCCUGGUCUGGUUUUAGCUGAGGUAAGCCCUGCUCUGUGUGCUGGGCGCAGACUGCCAGCUAGCCAAGGGGAUUGAGGGUGAAGUUGAAAGGCACUGCCGGGAGCCUGGUACGCUAAGGGGCCAUAAUGCAAAGAGGAAGCAUGUGACACACCCUAAGCUGUAGGAGCUGAGACUGAGGGACUUCUGAGAGCUGGGGGCCCUUUUAUUUUAGAGCCACUCAGACAAGCAACUUAAAAUCUUACCCAAGGGUCAUAGAGUACAUAGAGAACCAGCCAUGAUGUUUGUGGUUGUCUGGUUUCAUAACUACAAUGGGUAGAGCCAGCAUGCUGACUAGCUAGCAUCAUGUUAGCCAUAUUAGCUAUUAGCUAGAAUCAUGUUAGCCAUAUUAGCUAUUACCCAGAAUCAUGUUAGCCAUGCCAGAUAGCAUCUCGAUAGCAGUUUAAUAUGUACUGUAUGUCAAUGGGCUAACUACAAGUAAAGGAAGGACAUUUCCAAUGAAACGCAAAAUGAGACAGAAGGGGUGUCACAAAAGGGGUUUAGGGUAUUGGUGUCGGUUUGAGUUAUUGGGAAGCAUGGUCUUGUUUUUGUUGAGUGGCCUACGGUGAAUGAGCUAGUUAAUGGUAAAUUUACAACCCCAGCAUGUGGGCCAAUAAAACCAGGGGGACAGGGGACAUACAGGACGAUGAGAAUGAUUGUGAGAGGGGGGGAGAAAGAGAAAGAGGGGGAGAGAGUAGAGUGGAGGACGCUGGUAAUUAAGAGUCUAAGGGAGUGUGAGAGGGGGCACACACUGCUCAGAGCAAACUUUGUGCAUGGAAUCCUCACUCCUAUUUAUGCACCCUGUCUAUUCUCCCCUCCCUUCUACCCUUUAUCUUCUUCCUGGCCUUUCCUCUCUCUCCAUUCACUUGUCGCUCCCUCUGAAUGAAUAGUCACAGCUCUGUGGUGUCCCCCCCCCCCACCAACACCCCCACAGUACUCCCCUUAAACUCCCCCUCUAGCUCAGUCUUGAAUAGGGAGUCGAAUUGAGCAAACAGUCAGCCUGUCAGCUCAAUAGGAGGUCUGGCCGUGAACUUCAAGUCCUUCCCAGGCCCCCAGCGUCACAUUGGGGAGAGAGGCAGGGAGUUGGGAGGGAGGUGUGGGCUUGGGGAGCUGUGGGGAGACAGGAGGGAGGGGGUGAGUGGGAGCCACAGACACAGACAGACUUUAGGGGGCCCCUACGUGCCAAUAUUGGGGGGACCUCUGCCUGCCACAGAAGUUCCCAAGACUGGAGCUUUCGCUGGAGCUAUGGGGGAGGGUGCUCCAGGUCCCAGCUGCCUCCCCCCACCCCCUAGUCUAGGCAGGAGGGGUGUGUGCAGACGGGACAGUGUCUGCCCCCUGCCCAAACUCCAGCCCUCCAGACCCGGACACUCAGACGCAAGCUGCUGACUCUGCCCACCCACCCCCUCAACUCGCCUCGCUCCCAGCUCGCACAGGCCACACAUCAUCUCAUUACCCAACGCCAGCCACUCUACUGUCUACUGUUUGUAUUGUUUUGGGCUCUGCAUAAUUUACACAGUAAAUUGAGAAUGGCCCUGGCCCCUGCUCAAUCUACCACCUGUUUACAGAGACUGCCCGUGAUUAGUGGCUUUGCAUUAGAUUAGACACUGUUACUACUAAGGCUCUCAUGCGAUGUUUUGUUAGACUGGCUCCCCAACAUAGAAACUUUGAAUGUUGUUGGUUUUGUCAGGAUUUUUUUCUAUCUCCACAUUUGGCUUAAUCAGCUGCUAUAGUUUAUUUGAAUAUCCUUAAUAAAUUCAUUAUGUCUAGUCCUAACAGCAAUGUCUCUGUAGACCUCAUGCAGCGGAAUACCUUGGUGGGAUUGGCGAAGAGACAGACUUAAUAGCACUCUAGUGUUUCACCGUCCAUAUGCAUGGGUAGUAACUCACUAGCCUAUCCAUUAGCAAUGCUCUGGCACCGUACAGUAUCUUAGCGAUAGCACUGUCUCGACCUCCAGUAUGCAGACACAAACAAAGGGAGUUCUCUCCGUGCGGCACGGACAAUGGCACACAUUGUUUACCGGCUGCCUUAUUUAAUCGGGCCCAGCCGACUCUAAUUGGUGUUUUGGUUAUUAAGCGGUUUUUAAACUUGCAGCUCCCUGCUCGGAAUAAAGGAGUCGCUACAACAAGCUUGCUUAGGAGAACAAUACACGACUUGUCUCAGCACCAGCUCCCCCAAAACCUCACCCACCAACACAAAGACAGCUUUCCUCUACUGAGACCUCGCUAUCAUACUCUCAUUCGGCUUCUGCCUCUCUCGCUCCCUCUCUCCGUCUCUCAACCACACUCACUCUCUCCUGGUCCCUUUCUCUCUGUGUUGGUGUUGUACUGCAGUCUCUGUCUGAGUAGCACCAGCUGGCUCAUGGGCGUCACAGUUUUCUCCUUUAAAGAUAUGCUCUGAACUGCUUUUAGAAUUUUUAACUAAACAGUCAUUAGCGUAAAUGUUUACAUGUCAGCAAAUUAGGAUCAUUCAUUACAAAAACGGAAUGAUAAGACUUGGUGAAAAUAAAUAUUGCAAAAAGCGUACCGUCUCUUUGAUUACUAUUGAUAAUAAGAAUAGUGAUGAUGAUAUAAUAUAGCCCUAGCUAAUAUUUGUUAAUAGUCUCUGGGUGUAACUAUCUUGUGUAAUAUGCUAAAUGUGGAACAUUCAUGUCUCAGUUAUUCUGACCAGGGAAUACGGCCCGCGUAUUUCAACCUUCAACCAAAAUGGCAGCCGUCGCCAUGUCGGGCAUGUGUGUGAAGAGGAUGGCACAACAAUUCCCAAACGGGAAGAAAACUGGGCUGCUCAGAGCACAGAUGCCCACUGAAUGCCCCCUGAGAGAGAGCGAGAGCAAGAAGUGAUUUAAUGCAAGCACACACACAAAAACCCCAGCCUGCCCCCCCCCCAUCAACGCGUCCCGUGAUUUCUGCAAUUAGCAAACACAUCUGAGUUGCUUAAAGGCAAGGCCAGCCUGGCAGAGGGAGGGAGCGAGAGAGAAGGGAGGGUCCGGAGGAGGAGGAAAGGAUGGGGUGAUGGUGGCGGUGGUGGUGUUAUGGAGGCGUGAUGCAGCAUGGCGGGAACAGGGCUGUUAUUGUUACCUGCUCUCUCUGAUCCUCACUUCCAUUUCAUGCCAGCGUGCGUCGUCCUAAGAUGGUGGCGUGGGCUACGUCUCGCGGUACAGGAGAAUGGGGAAGGCAGCUGAGGAUGAAGCGAGGGAGGGGAGAAGGGGAGAGGCGAUACGGAGGAGGGCGAGAAGAGGGAGGCAGAGUCAACAGCAACCUCUCUUCCUCUCCCUGUUUUUCAGCCUCAUUUUGCCAGCAUUCUGUCACGGUGGUGUUGGUAGUCUGCACAAAAAAUAAGAAUAGGUAAAAAGAGAAAAUGUGAGUAUGUGGUUUAACCAGCCGAGAUACACAUACAUACAUAUGUACGUAUACACACGCACCCACACAUGUCUUUUCUCAUGGUACAGUCUGCCCCUGAGCAUGCAAAUGACUUUUAUUAUGCAAAUGCAUGCAAAUCAGAUCCAACCAUCUGAGAAUCAAGCCUGGGAAGAAAGAAAAUUGACACAGAGAUUGAAUGAAAGAAUGAAAGAGAAAUAGAACAGGGGGAAAAUCCUUUUGAGUGGCAGGAGGCGGUAAGUCAGGUAAAUGGUAUGUGGAGGAACAACGGUGGCCCAAAUUGGACAAACAAGAUUGCCUUUUGUAUUAUGACGAUAACUUAGCUUUUUUCUGACUGCACUGUAUUUUAACAUCAUACUUGAUAUCAUACAAGUUUCACAUGAAGUUAAGUUCAGACUCACAUCAUCUGCAAUAGCAAGCAAGGAGAUUGCUCCAGCUAACAGGCUUUUCAGCAGUUCCACAAUGUCUUCACUUUCAUUCAAGGACGCAACAAGGACUUGAGCUCCUUUAUUGAAAAAACACAGGAAUUUCACGUGAUCACGUGAUCUUAUGUGAAGUUAAUGUGAUAACAUGUAAAAGCAACAUGUGAUACCAUGAAACUACACAUGUGAAAACAUUUGAGCACACGUGAAAACAUGAUCUCGUGAAAGAAAUGUGACAACAUGGGGAUGCAAAUUUUUUAAACGUUUUUCACAUGUGAAACUGCAAAUUUCACACGUUGCUUUUAUUACAAUUCACGUGAGGUGAAAACCUGUUAUUCUCCACACAUGUGAAAAGGUGGUGUAAAUGUAAUACAUGUGAACAUAUGGUUUAACGUGAACAACUAACCACACUUGUCUCUUUUCCUGCUUUUUUUGUAAAGGAAGUAAUGAAAUGGUAUUGGAGAUUUAAGGUAAACGGUACGCUGUUCAGCUAAAAUAGUGUAAUACUGUACAUUUAAUCAAUAUGAUGACAUUUGAUGACAUACCUGGGAUUUGAAAUCACACUCUCUAUAUUUGGAGUACGCUGAUCUUUCUGCUGUGUCACAAAGUCUGUAGUAUUCUCAGAAGUCCUCUACAGAUUAAUUACCUACAAUGCAUCUCUGCAAUUAGCAAAAAAGUGCCAUCUGCACUGCUAUUUUAGUUCUAAAUUAAUCUGACUAUUAUCUCAUCAUUGAUUUCCUUCACUUAUUUCAUCAAUUUGUGGGUUUUCUGUAUAGUUGUCUAACGUUGGUGGGGCAUUUAUUUACUUUGUCCUGAAUCACUAUGAUAAAUAUAAUGGUGUAUUAUUAACAAAGCUGAGAUUUACUUUGAAGUACAAAGUGUAGGAAUAGAGGUGAAAUCAGUUACUGACACAGACAUGGUGGUGUAGAAAGGAAGAUUGUACAUAAUGCCGUGAACCAAGAGGUUGUGAGUUCAUAUCCCAGGUGAGGACAUGUUAAAUAAUAAUUACUGUAUAAAUAAACAUACACGAUGUAAUCAUUUGUGUCAAAUAUGUCAAUUGAAAACACUGCGGCUGUGGGACCUUUUGUUUGCAGGGCAUCACCUAUGUAAUCAUAUGCCUUGGGGCCUUCCCUGUGGCUCAGUUGGUAGAGCAUGGUGUGUGCAACGCCAGGGUUGUGGGUUCGAUUCCCACGGGGGGCCAGUACAAAAAUAAUGCAUGAAAUGAAAUGUAUGCAUUCAUUACUGUAAGUCGCUCUGGAUAAGAGCGUCUGCUAAAUGACUAAAAUGUAAAUGUGCAAUAACCCCACAUGUACUGUAAGUUGUACCAAAAUCACAUGAAAGGUUAUGUGAUCACAUAUGAAAAUAUAAUAUAAUACAGUGGGAGAAAGACUGUGACCUAGAAGGGGAUUGCUGUCUGAAAUAUGCUGUUGGAGUCACAGAUGGUUGGCUGUAUGAGAUCAAAUGUUGUGAAACUUCAUUAUAACAAAGACAACAAUGCUACAGUAUCAACAUGCUGAUGAAGAGGUUGAUGAAGAGGUUGAUAGAGGUUGCUGGAGCUAUUAUGUUAGCCUUCGCAUUCUUUUAGCACAAACUCAAACUAGUCAAACAUAUUGUAGUGGUGCUUUUCCAUGUCAUUCUCUGGCCAAGCUAGACAUGCAAGUAACCCAAGAGCUACAAACUAACUCCACCAAUGUGGGUUGGAAUCUACUAACUAGCUACCAGCCUAGCCUAUACAUGACAUUUGGUGAACCAACGAGCAGACUAAUCGGGGAGGAGAGAGCUGCUGUCUGUUUUCACUCUCAGGCUUGAGGAAGGAGGCAGCUUUUGUUUCAGGGUGCCAGUAGGGAGACACUAUUUUUUAGGCUGUAAUGGGGGAGUAGGGAUAGGGGUGAAGGGAAGGGGCUUGGGAGUAUGAGAGAGUAGGCUAGGAGGAAGGGAGGGGCAGUAGAAGAGGGGGUGGGGUACCACUGAAUGGUGGCAAACCUCUCCUAAUUGGCACUUGACAUUUUUUUGCCAUUGGCACUAAAGUGGGCCGGCUUUCAAGCCCGCUCUGAGUCCUUGUUGGAAAAGUGCCAUAUGCAAAUAUGGCGAAUGGGCUCCAUUGUGAAGCCUCUGAUAUUAACAGCUCAGGGAACAAUGCAAUUGUGUGCUUACUCUGGACUCGAAGGUGUGUGAGUGAGAACAAGACAAUGGCUGCCAAAGCCGCUUCGGUCUGAACAGCCCCUUCACAUGACGUUCUGACAAGUAAUUUCACCAGAAUGGCCUUCUGUGGACUGGGGCUCUGUCAGGCUCUGUCCAAAAGCUUGGUUGAAGACUGAAAUAGUUAGUUUCAGUUUGUCCAAUACUUGCCCAACUUCUGAAAAUGUAAUCUUUCUCUUUUUGUUGAGAGGCUCUUUUUCCUAACUGUUAAAAUAUUCAGAAUAUUAUUAGCUUUUUUUGUAAAAAUGCAUCCUAUGUUAAAACAUUUCCAGUUGAGCACAUUGCUCUAAAUGCUAGAAUGUAUAGUGUUCUGUAAUCCUUCUGAUAUUUCUCUAUUUGGAUUGUUUACCCUUCACUAGCUCCCUGGGGCAACAGUGGAGGGAGAUCUAAACAUAACUCCUGUCUCCCUUUGGAGAGUUCUUGGCAAAUCAAUGAUGAAUUGUAGCAAAACUGAGAAGUAUUUUCAAAGACUGAGAAAUGAUAAGAGACUGAUCUUGGACAUCUAGACCAAACAAACUCCCAGCACUAACUUCCAAGAGGAAACAUAUAAAGCAGAUUGUCAAAGGCCGUAAAGCAGUUCCAUCUUUAUCUCCACACAAGUCGAAACUGUCAGGGAGGAAACAGAACAACGGGUCCAACAAUAGCACCCACCUCCGGUGUGGUCCGAACCAAGUCAAAGUACACCUGUUACUGCUAAGUUACCAAACUUAAUCUCCUUUGUCUGGGUGGGUCCAUUGACUUCUGUAAACGCCUGAAAUACAUGAAUUUCUCUUUGAGCGACAGGGAGGCGGGGGCCGCUUUAGAAAUGGCAAAGUCUGCCCCUCUGUACCAGCCCAGCAGUGAAGCCAACUCUGUUGGUGUGUUCUGUUGAGAAAAAAAAGAGGCAGAGAAAAGGGGGCAAGAAUCACUGGGCCUUUUUCAGAAACCCGUCUGGCUGCUAGGACCCGGAGGUGCUGAAAGGGUGGUAAAGGAGCCCAUUGUCGCCCUGUGACAAGUGGACUAGCUCUAUUGACUGUAAAGUCUACUGGUGGGGGGCCGCCAGGGCGCCUGUUUUUCUACUUGACACUUGGAGUCUAAAUCUGCUUGCCUAGAGCCUGAAAGCUAAGACAAAUCCACCAAACCCUACCUCUGCCUCCCUUCCUUUCUCCUCUCCCUCCCUCCAUCUUUUCUCUUUACCCCCUCUCUCUUUCCCUCCCUCCACUCCAGACAGGGCUACAGUAGAGUCUCGGAGGUUUUGUGGAACUCCUGUUUUUGUGCCAUUUUCAGGCAGGCAGUGCAAAGGCCGUCUUUCCUCUGGGGUAGGGUUGCAAAAUUCCAGGAACUGUCAAUGAACUCCCUGGUGUUCCAGAAAUCCUGGUUGGAAGAUUCUGGAUUUCCUGCUUAUUCCCCCCUUACUCCGUGCAUCCUGCAACCAGAAAGUUCCUGGAAUUUUGUAACCAUACUCUCGGGUCCCUAGUGUGGACUGUUUUUGAUAUGACUGUGCCACACACAGUCAUCCCCCUUAUCGCCACCAACAAAACAGCUGCACCAGUGCACACACCUUUAUGGGAGUCUGUCACUGACUUCAUAUCAUCUUCUCUUCAAAUAGUAUUCAUGCUUAUCGUACAAAUUGUAGCUAAUUGGAGAGAAAAAAAACGUUAUUACUGCCUGAAAAAUAAAUACAAACUGAUGUCAGAAAGCUAAUCUAACUUUGCUAAAAUCUCUACCCAUAAAUGUUUUCAUUCAAUCAAAUUUUACUUGCAUAACACUUUGUAAAAGGCCAAUUUGUCACAUUAACAGCCACAACGGCAUGUAUAUAGCUAUACAACCACAGAUAACAGCCAAGAACAGUCGUUGGGGCCUUGUUCCAGUUCCCCUGGAUUCUUCCGUUGGUAAUGACAGUAGCUAGGGAAAACAGACAAAGAGCCAGGUACCACUGUGCCACCGGAGGAGGUGACAUCACCGCCUGUCACUUCCUGUCAAGGCCCUCGUCUCUCUCGUUCCCUCGCUGAGCCCUGAGCUCAAAUGUCUCACUCAGCACCUGCAAUGCAGCAGGCAGGAACCGCUGCACAACCUGCUAAAAUUGACAUUGUGAGUGUUGUUGCUAUACAAACGCUCCAACAGGAGUUUCAGUCUAGUCAGACGUGCCAUAUUGGUGUAAGUAUUGUGUUUGUUAUCAAAGCAGAAUUCAAAUGUAUAAAUUUAGCCGAGUAAAUGUGAUUAAAACCCUGUUUAGGCCAUUGAUCACCAGAUGAAUAACGUGUUUUUCAAACAUACUGGUGCUAUAGUAUACAAUUUACUCUCCAAUUUCUCUGUAAUGUCUUGAAGCUAUGGAAGGCUGAUUUGGUCGAAAGACAGAAAAAUCAUACUAGAGUCCUCACUCGACAUGAUUAUUUUUCUAGUUGAAAAGAAAUCAACAUCAUUGCCUUGAUGACUGAUUGAAGGUGUGAAGAUCUGAUUGACCAAUUACUCCCACUAUUGGCUGAGGCCCGGAUUGUUCCCUCUCUCAUGGCUGUCACUGGGGGCAGUUUCUGGUUGAUUGCCCUCGGACCACUCCCCCACAGAGCCCCACACAGUGGCAUUCAACAAGAUCCAUCAGGCCUUUCCACAUGGUAGCACCUCAUGCAAUGGAGGCUUCGCCAUGGCCCAUUCACAACCAAGCCAACUGUCACCUCAAAUCAAACACCCAAACAAAAGCAAAAUCAAACACCUUCCGAUAUGAAAGAAAGAGGGGGAGAAAACAAAUAAACAACCAUCUAGCUUAACAAAGCGGGCCUCAAACAAAUCUGUCCAUUCGACUAUGUGCUGGCAGGGGAGAUGAUCGUGGGAUUAACUUAAAAAGUCCAUUGUAAACUUCCACAAUCCAAAUAACGUAUGACAUUAGAGGCUAUAAUCAGCAACCAUACUUUCUAUUCAUUUCACCUGUUUUCCAAACAGCCUUAACUAAAACCCCAUCAGCCCAGUACAGAAUUGCUACAACGGUAGGAUGGUUACUUGCAGCUACUGACUGGCCAAUUUGUUAACCACUUCGGCAAAGUCCGCAGUCAGCACCAUUCAGGUUGCUGUUGGUUCUUUGGGACCCGCCCACCACUGCUGGCCAUGUGAUCGUAAGGAUAAGCCGCUGCAUGCAGCCCCACACAGAGGGAUCAGGGGCUUAUUAGAUUACAAGUGAUCCUGUUGGACCAACCGGGCUGCUAGGGACCAAUGCCACCGGCCAUGUGCAAAUAUGAGGAAAUAUGUGUAUAGCUCAUUAUUUUUAGAGAUCAAUCUCAAAGAGAUCAGGCUUUCCCAACUAUAUGGCUCAGGGGGAAAUAUCAAAAAUUCUAAUACUCAAAGAUGUAAAUUCAUAAGAAACUCAACAAAUACUCAAACUCUCAAAUCUGCUGCUAAAAUUCUCAGAGGCAAUUGUGAUAUAUUUGAAUACGGCACACAAGGGCCAGCAGAGACCAGACAGUUGUAAUUGUCAAGCUGAGUUAAAAAGACACACACACGUACACAUACACACAUAAACCUGUGCAAUUGGAUUACAUCACACGACUUACUUGACUUUUUCGUCUGCUCCCGUGUCCUAUGAUGUCGGCCAUUUUUUUGCUUGUUUUGCUGUGAAUGGUAGAAUGGGGUGGUGCGGCAUGGGGGAUAUGUGUUGGGGGAUCUUGAUGCCUUUCAGGAGCGUAAUGG
rnacentral:lncRNA from 1 species